rnacentral:lncRNA from 1 species
CUUGCCAUAAUGUGGGAACAAAUCCAUACCAGGAGGGGCUGAGAGAUGUGUUCAAGACACAUGCUUGUCCUGGAGAAGAAACAGGUUUGGUGAGCCACCAGCAAGCGUUUCAUGUGCCUCUGAUGAGUUUGAUGAAUCUACUAAUGUUCUGCCCGAGAGGCAUUGCCGGUGUGGCUGCUGUAUCACAUGUACAUCAGUAGGUGGCAGAGAGAAGAAGGGCUCUAUGUGUAUUUAGUGUUCUGACCUAUGUACAUCUGAAUGAUGAAUAGCCAAACAUUUCCUUCAAAAAGAAAACCUAAGACGACCACAAGUCCAGCAUCAGGGGGCCCAGACAGGAGCUAGCCUGAGACAACCUGGCCAUGCAGGUCCAUAAUACAAGAGAAGGGCAUAGCACUCCUGAGACUACGCCUGAAAUGACCCCAGACACUGAGAGACCCCAGGUGCCACUAAGAGGAGCGAGUGGUGGAAAAAUGGAAGAGAAAGAGCAACAGGAGGAUGUGGACAUAAAGAAGAGAGAGAGAAAUGGGGGCUGAAGGGUAGUGAGGAACCGCUUGAUAUGAGCCAGUGACCAUGGUGGCGUCCUGGCCUGCACUGCCACAGAGCCAGGUCUGGGUCUGUGGCCCUGCAGCAGAAGAGAUCUGUUACCACCCAAGGCCAAGCAGACAUCUCUGAUCUCGGCUGCUGCUCAGAGACACACCGUGACACACUACAACUUCCACAAGGGGACUUUUUUCUCUGUUGGGGGGAGGUUGCAAGGGUGGUGGGUGGGUAUGAGAGGAGGGAGAAGUGAGUGGGAUUGGGGUAUAUGAUGUGAAAUUCACAAAGAACCAAAUAAAAAGUUUGAAAAAGCC